GUUAGGAACCCGCGUUCCCACAGCGACAGGUUAGGAACCCGCGUUCCCACAGCGACAGGUUAGGAACCCGCGUUCCCACAGCGACAGGUUAGGAACCCGCGUUCCCACAGCGACAGGUUAGGAACCCGCGUUCCCACAGCGACAGGUUAGGAACCCGUGUUCCCACAGCGACAGGUUAGGAACCCGUGUUCCCACAGCGACAGGUCAGGAACCCGUGUUCCCACAGCGACAGGUUAGGAACCCGUGUUCCCACAGCGACAGGUUAGGAACCCGCGUUCCCACAGCGACAGGUUAGGAACCCGCGUUCCCACAGCGACAGGUUAGGAACCCGCGUUCCCACAGCGACAGGUUAGGAACCCGCGUUCCCACAGCGACAGGUCAGGAACCCGCGUUCCCACAGCGACAGGUCAGGAACCCGUGUUCCCACAGCGACAGGUCAGGAACCCGUGUUCCCACAGCGCCAGGUUAGGAACCCGUGUUCCCACAGCGACAGGUUAGGAACCCGUGUUCCCACAGCGACAGGUCAGGAACCCGUGUUCCCACAGCGACAGGUUAUUAUAUAUCAGUUAGUAAUGUUGACAUAUGUUCACCAUAUGCAGGUUAACAAUAUGGGUAAAAUGUCUAUGUGGACAUUUAUUCCAUCUGAAGCAGCGAACACGGAACCCGAACCGGCUGCCCGUGCGCCAGCAGGCAUACGUUUAUUAUGUCCCCCUACACCAAACCUGAUCACAACACGCAGGUUCAAAUAUCAAAAAAAACUCUGAAGCAAUGACAUUAAUUUGGGGACAGGUCGAAAAGCAUUCAACAUGUAUGGCUAUUUAGCGAGAUGCGAGACGCAGGACUGCCUCCCCCAUCUCCUCAUUGGUUUAUAGCUAAACAGGACAAAUUAGCUAGCAACAGCAAGCUAACUAAACAGGACAAAUUAGCUAGCAACAGCAAGCUAACUAAACAGGACAAAUUAGCUAGCAACAGCAAGCUAACUAAACAGGACAAAUUAGCUAGCAA